rnacentral:rRNA from 1 species
UACAGAGGUCCCGAGCGUUGUUCGGAUUUAUUGGGCGUAAAGGGUGCGUAGGCGGCGGAGUAAGUUGGGUGUGAAAUCCCGGGGCUUAACCUCGGAAUGGCAUUCAAUACUGCUUCGCUCGAGUACUGGAGAGGAGGCUGGAAUUCACGGUGUAGCAGUGAAAUGCGUAGAUAUCGUAAGGAAGGCCGGUGGCGAAAGCGAGCCUCUGGACAGUUACUGACGCUGAUGCACGAAGGCCAGGGGAGCAAACGGG